rnacentral:rRNA from 1 species
UACGUAGGGUGCGAGCGUUAAUCGGAAUUACUGGGCGUAAAGCGUGCGCAGGCGGCUUGCCAAGUCAGAUGUGAAAGCCCCGGGCUCAACCCCGGGAAUGGCGUUUGAAACUGGCAGGCUAGAGUUUGGCAGAGGGGGGUGGAAUUCCACGUGUAGCAGUGAAAUGCGUAGAGAUGUGGAGGAACACCGAUGGCGAAGGCAGCCCCCUGGGCCAAAACUGACGCUCAGGCACGAAAGCGUGGGGAGCAAACAGG